rnacentral:lncRNA from 1 species
GGAAAUCGUGCUUUGAUAGCCCCAGGCAUCGUAUUUCAUCGUAUUUCACAAUUAGGUCUACAAGCCAGGUUCAAGGCCACCAACUGAGGCACCUGUCCCGAGACAGGACCAUUCUAAUCUGCCCUGAAAAGGACAUCCCAUUGAUCAUACUAAAUUUGUGGAUGGAUACCUAUCUGUUGACCAGACCCUCCCUCUUCAAUGAAAACUGCCUCUCCUUCCACUCCAUCUGUGAGGCACCCUUGGAUGCUGACAUGUGCUUACAUAGGACUUCCUGUCCACAGCCAGAAUUAGCCAGAAUUCACUGACCCAUGGUUGGACUCCUAAAAUACUCAAG